GCCGAGGUGGCAGAGCCUGGACCAAUGCGCUAGCCUGGAGAGCUAGUCUCCCUUGUGGAGACUUGGGUUCAAAUCCCAACCUCGGCG
rnacentral:tRNA from 1 species